GUGAAGGACCUUUCGAAAAAUUCACUAUUCCGCCCUUUUUCGGCCCGGCACCGGCCGCAUUGGACUGGCAAAACAUCACCAUCGCUUCGAACGGUCCGGCCUGAUCAAGGCUUCGGAAUUUCUCAGCCCCCCAGCCCCCCGGGGUCCUCGGUCGGGUCGGACCACCUUCGAACCAAGGCUACGAAGCGCAUUCCCCUCCCAAAUACCUGUCCCUAAGGCCGGUCCUGCCCGGCCUUUUU
rnacentral:sRNA from 1 species